AUAAGCAGGCAGAAGGUCGAUGCGCCUGCUUGUGUUGCCUAUUUCAACUGCUUCAAUCAUAAUUUUAAGUAAGCAGGUCGACGCGCCUACUUGUGCUGCCUGCUUUAUUAUUUUUUUUAGGUUUAAUUUGGUCUUUUAUUGAUAAUUAAAAAUUAUGAAUGGACCAACCCAUCCAAAUCACAAAAUAAAGCACAAAUCUGGGGUAGCCCAAAUCUUCAAUCCGGAUCGGCCCAACACUUUACCCGGGCCACAUCAAAAACAUAAAUAAAAAUAGUAGGGUUUCCUAAUUGAGCUAAGAUUAGCUCAUUUCUCUUUAGCUUGCCGCCUCUUUCACCAUGUUUGACUUCUUCGAUCUUCAGUUUGAGCUUCUUCAUCUGUAGGUAAUCAACACUAUGUCUUGAUCUCUCCGAAGUGGAUCCUUCUCCAACUGCAAGACUGUGUUCUCCAGUCUAAGGGUUUAUGAAAUGUUUUUUGGUGCUAAGAAGUACGGUCUUGUCCGUUGAGAUUUGAUAGAAAUUCGUGUUAUGGAAGGGGGGAGAUAUGAGAAGCUCGAACCCACUUGUAACUGGAUGAUGUCAAAUUCCCUAGCCGCAUGCAAUGAAGAUCUGACCAUUUGACCCCCUGAUCUACUGAGAGUUCUUUUUGUAGGUUGGUUUAUUAGGCUAAGUAGCAAUUCCCCUUUUUUGUUCCCCUUUUUUGGAUGUAAAUUUGAUGUAUGUGGAUAAACUUGCUUUAGCCUCUCCAGUCUGUCUACUUUUUUGUUACUGCUAGCCUCUGGUAGGACGAUUGAUACGUAUCACUGUUAAGAAUCCUCCUACCUGUACUUGGAAGCUGAUGAAAUAUUGUGUAUGUGAAUGUAUUUAGCUCCAAAGCCAAGUUGGCCAAAAAAUUUGCCAAUUGAUUUCCCUCUCUGUAUGUAUAAAGUAUCUGCACUUGCUUGUU